UUAACAUGUUUCUUAUGACUUAGGUUCGCGUGAGCCUCAUCAACGACAGCCAACAGGUAAACCUCGUUUUCAAUGGAAGUGGCUCUGGAUACCUGGACUGGUUCAGUCGGUACCGAGUCCUCGAGUCCCCGUGGCAGGAUCUCUUUCCGAACAACUCCUAUCAGUUUUUUUCAGCUGAUGGAGAUUCACCAAUUAUGCGACGAUUCUUCAUCCAGGCAAACUAUGCAGGAUGCCCAGACGAUCGUGGGUGGCUGGUAGUCGUGGAUGGAACAAGUAUCCUUGUAGUUGGGACAAACAUCCCGCCCCAGCCAUCCUCUACAGCGGUUCCCAAGAAGCAACAGUCUGGCAGUCCUCAAACAGCAGUGUUGUACUAGCGGACGUUUUCGCGGUUUUCAUCCAAUACUGAUGUCACGUGACAUUACCUCGUAUCCUUGGAGACACAAGCUCCACACAAUAUUCGUCCUGUUCACCUUCCCCUUUUUUUGAUACUUUUCUAUUGUCUUCCUCUAUAGAAUCUCGAUAUUCUCAGUUCUUGAUACUUGGUGUCUCUCUCUCUCUCUCCGCUUUUAUGUUUGUCUUCUAUUUGUCAUCAGUUUUGUUGUUUAUUCUUCUCUCCAUGUUCUCCAUGUCUCAUUCUUGUUUU